UGAGGAAUAUUGGUCAAUGGGCGCAAGCCUGAACCAGCCAUGCCGCGUGCAGGAUGAAGCAUCUAUGGUGUGUAAACUGCUUUUGUACGGGAAGAAACCACCCCUCGUGAGGGGUAUUGACGGUACCGUAAGAAUAAGGAUCGGCUAACUCCGUGCCAGCAGCCGCGGUAAUACGGAGGGUGCAAGCGUUAUCCGGAUUUACUGGGUUUAAAGGGUGCGUAGGUGGGUCUGUAAGUCAGUGGUGAAAUCUUCGAGCUUAACUCGGAAACUGCCAUUGAUACUAUAGGUCUUGAAUUAUUGGGAAGUAACUAGAAUAUGUAGUGUAGCGGUGAAAUGCUUAGAGAUUACAUGGAAUACCGAUGGCGAAGGCAAUCCCCUGGACCUGUACUGACGCUCAUGCACGAAAGCGUGGGGAGCAAACA
rnacentral:rRNA from 1 species